rnacentral:rRNA from 1 species
AGUCGUGGGGCAGCAGGUCCGUAGCAAUACGGAUGCUGGCGACCGGCAAACGGGUGCGUAACACGUACGCAACCUUCCUUCAGGCGGGGAAUAGCCCGGGGAAACCCGGAUUAAUACCCCAUAAAAUCUUGGGAUGGCAUCAUCCUAUUAUUAAAGCUUCGGCACCUGAUGAUGGGCGUGCGGCUGAUUAGGUAGUUGGCGGGGUAACGGCCCACCAAGCCAGCGAUCAGUAGCCGAUGUGAGAGCAUGAUCAGCCACACGGGCACUGAGACACGGGCCCGACCCCUACGGGAGGCAGCAGUAAGGAAUAUUGGUCAAUGGACGAAAGUCUGAACCAGCCAUGCCGCGUGGAGGAUGAAGGUCCUCUGGAUUGUAAACUUCUUUUAUUUGGGACGAAAAAGGGGAAUUCCUUCCCACUUGACGGUACCAGAUGAAUAAGCACCGGCUAACUCCGUGCCAGCAGCCGCGGUAAUACGGAGGGUGCAAGCGUUAUCCGGAUUCACUGGGUUUAAAGGGUGCGUAGGCGGAUAGGUAAGUCCGUGGUGAAAUCCUGCAGCUUAACUGCAGAACUGCCAUGGAUACUAUCUAUCUUGAAUGUCGUGGAGGUUAGUGGAAUAUGUCAUGUAGCGGUGAAAUGCUUAGAUAUGACAUAGAACACCCAUUGCGAAGGCAGCUAACUACGCGAUAAUUGACGCUGAUGCACGAAAGCGUGGGGAUCAAACAGGAUUAGAUACCCUGGUAGUCCACGCCCUAAACGAUGAUUACUC